rnacentral:rRNA from 1 species
CCUACGGGUGGCAGCAGUGAGGAAUAUUGGUCAAUGUGCGAGAGCCUGAACCAGCCAAGUCGCGUGAAGGAUGAAGGACCUAUGGUUUGUAAACUUCUUUUAUAUGGGAAUAAAGUGAGGCACGUGUUCCUUUUUGUAUGUACCAUAUGAAUAAGCCUAGGCUAACUCCGUACCAGCAGCCGCGGUAAUACGGAGGAUGCGAGCGUUAUCCGGAUUUAUUGGGUUUAAAGGGUGCGUAGGUGGUUUAUUAAGUCAGCGGUGAAAGUUUGGGGUUCAACAAUAAAAUUGCCGUUGAAACUGGUUGACUUGAGUAUAUGUGAGGUAGGCGGAAUGCGUGGUGUAGCGGUGAAAUGCAUAGAUAUCACGAAGAACUCCGAUUGCGAAGGCAGUUUACUAAACUGUAACUGACACUGAGGCACGAAAGCGUGGGGAUCAAACAGGAUUAGAUACCCGUGUAGUC